rnacentral:rRNA from 1 species
CUAACGAGGAUUUCUCCAGUAACGGCGAGUGAACGGGAAAAAGCCCAGCGCUGAAUCCCAGUAGUAGUAAUAACUACUGAGAGCUGUAGCGUAUAGGUGUAGCUGUCCAAGCAUUUUGUGCACCCAAAGUCCCCUUGAGCGGGGCCACAGUCCAAAGAAGGUGCUAGACCUGUACGGGUGAUAAAACGUUUGGUAGGUUGCACUUUGGAGUCGGGUUGCCUGAGAUCGCAGCCCAAAGAGGGUGGUAAACCUCAUCUAAGGCUAAAUACGACCAUGAGACCGAUAGCAAACAAGUACCGUGAGGGAAAGUUGCAAAGAACUUUGAAGAGAGAGUUCAAGAGGGCGUGAAACCGCUGAGAUGGAAACGGAUAGAGUUAACAAAACUUAUCGGUAUUCAACCGAUCAAUUUAGCGGCCUUACGGCAUUGUACCUUAAUUGAGGGCAAUGACGUAAGUAAUUUACUGUUGAAUUUGUAAUGCCAAUGAUUGGUGUAUUUACCGAUAGUAUGCGCUGAGAGCUUCGUUGAAUGCUGUAUAUUGAAACAUUUAUACAGAUAGUGGACCAUAUUGUUUUACAAUAUGGAAACCUAUCUAAUGUUAUGAAAUAUAUCAGCAAUGAAGUUACCUAGUGUACAGUAACUUUAACUACAUUUAUUUGUAGUGCAUUGUUUUGCAAUUUGAUCAAUUCAAUAUACAUACAAAUUGCUUGCAAUUUGUUAGUAAAUUGUUAAAAAAUUGAUCAAUUGUAUAAAUUGUAAUGCAUUUAAAGUUACAUCUCGGUGUGAACGUUAAUCACCUAUCCGACCCGUCUUGAAACACGGACCAAGGAGU